rnacentral:rRNA from 1 species
GAUGAACGCUGGCGGCGUGCCUAAUACAUGCAAGUCGAGCGAACAGACGAGGCGCUUGCUCCUCUGACGUUAGCGGCGGACGGGUGAGUAACACGUGGAUAACCUCCCUAUAAGACUGGGAUAACUUCGGGAAACCGGCGCUAAUACCGGAUAAUAUAUUGAACCGCAUGGUUCAAUAGUGAAAGACGGUUUUGCUGUCACUUAUAGAUGGAUCCGCGCCGCAUUAGCUAGUUGGUAAGGUAACGGCUUACCAAGGCAACGAUGCGUAGCCGACCUGAGAGGGUGAUCGGCCACACUGGGACUGAGACACGGUCCAGACUCCUACGGGAGGCAGCAGUAGGGAAUCUUCCGCAAUGGGCGAAAGCUUGACGGAGCAACGCCGCGUGAGUGAUGAAGGUCUUCGGAUCGUAAAACUCGGUUAUUAGGGAAGAACAAAUGUGUAAGUAACUAUGCACGUCUUGACGGUACCUAAGCAGAAAGCCACGGCUAACUACGGG